UACGUAGGGUGCGAGCGUUGUCCGGAAUUACUGGGCGUAAAGAGCUCGUAGGUGGUUUGUCGCGUUGUUCGUGAAAACUCACAGCUUAACUGUGGGCGUGCGGGCGAUACGGGCAGACUGGAGUACUGCAGGGGAGACUGGAAUUCCUGGUGUAGCGGUGGAAUGCGCAGAUAUCAGGAGGAACACCGGUGGCGAAGGCGGGUCUCUGGGCAAGUAACUG
rnacentral:rRNA from 1 species